AACGAACGCUGGCGGCGUGGAUAAGACAUGCAAGUCGAACGGGACAGACCGAGUAGCAAUAUUUGGAAUGCUCAGUGGCGAACGGGUGCGUAACACGUGGAUAACAUUCCGGAAAGCGGGGAAUAGCCCAGGGAAACUUGGAUUAAUACCGCAUGUGGCCGCAAGGCUAAAGACGGGGACCGCAAGGCCUGUCACUUUCCGAUCGGUCCGCGGCCUAUCAGCUAGUUGGCGGGGUAAUGGCCCACCAAGGCUACGACGGGUAGCUGGUCUUAGCGGACGACCAGGCACAAUGGAACUGAGACAAGGUACAGACACCUACGGGUGGCAGCAGUCGAGAAUCUUUCACAAUGGGGGCAACCCUGAUGGAGCGACGCCGCGUGGAGGAUAAGGUCUUCGGAUUGUAAACUCCUGUCAUGCGAGAACAAGGUACGCAGGCUAAUAACCUGAUUGUUUGAUGGUACCGCAAGAGGAAGAGACGGCUAACUCUGUGCCAGCCGCCGCCGUAAUAC
rnacentral:rRNA from 1 species